GAUGAACGCUGGCGGCGUGCCUAAUACAUGCAAGUCGAGCGAACAGACGAGGAGCUUUCUCCUCUGACGUUAGCGGCGGACGGGUGAGUAACACGUGGAUAACCUACCUAUAAGACUGGGAUAACUUCGGGAAACCGGCGCUAAUACCGGAUAAUAUAUUUAACCGCAUGGUUCAAUAGGGAAAGACGGUUUUGCUGUCACUUAUAGAUGGAUCCGCGCCGCAUUAGCUAGUUGGUAAGGUAACGGCUUACCAAGGCAACGAUGCGUAGCCGACCUGAGAGGGUGAUUGGCUACACUGGAACUGAGACACGGUCCAGACUCCGACGGGAGGCAGCAGUAGGGAAUCUUCCGCAAUGGGCGAAAGCCUGACGGAGCAACGUCGCGUGAGUGAUGAAGGUCUUCGGAUCGUAAAACUCUGUUAUUAGGGAAGAACAAAUGUGUAAGUAACUAUGCACGUCUUGACGGUACCUAAUCAGAAAGCCACGGCUAACUACGUG
rnacentral:rRNA from 1 species